rnacentral:rRNA from 1 species
CGUUGCGCAUGACUUACCAUGCAGUCGAACGGCAGCACGGGUGCUUGCACCUGGUGGCGAGUGGCGAACGGGUGAGUAAUACAUCGGAAUGUACCUUGUAGUGGGGGAUAGCUCGGCGAAAGCCGGAUUAAUACCGCAUACGCUCUGAGGAGGAAAGCGGGGGACCUUCGGGCCUCGUGCUACAAGAGCAGCCGAUGUCAGAUUAGCUAGUUGGUGGGGUAAAAGCUCACCAAGGCGACGAUCUGUAGCUGGUCUGAGAGGACGACCAGCCACACUGGGACUGAGACACGGCCCAGACUCCUACGGGAGGCAGCAGUGGGGAAUUUUGGACAAUGGGCGAAAGCCUGAUCCAGCAAUGCCGCGUGUGUGAAGAAGGCCUUCGGGUUGUAAAGCACUUUUGUCCGGAAAGAAAUCCUUUGGGUUAAUACCUCGGGGGGAUGACGGUACCGGAAGAAUAAGCACCGGCUAACUACGUGCCAGCAGCGACGGUAAUA